AUUGAACGCUGGCGGCAUGCCUUACACAUGCAAGUCGAACGGCAGCAUGGAGAGCUUGCUCUCUGAUGGCGAGUGGCGAACGGGUGAGUAAAGCAUCGGAACGUACCGUGUAAUGGGGGAUAACGUAGCGAAAGUUACGCUAAUACCGCAUACGACCUGAGGGUGAAAGCAGGGGAUCGCAAGACCUUGCGUUAUACGAGCGGCCGAUGUCAGAUUAGCUAGUUGGUAGGGUAAAGGCCUACCAAGGCGACGAUCUGUAGCGGGUCUGAGAGGAUGAUCCGCCACACUGGGACUGGGACACGGCCCAGACUCCUACGGGAGGCAGCAGUGGGGAAUUUUGGACAAUGGGGGCAACCCUGAUUCAGCCAUGCCGCGUGAGUGAAGAAGGCCUUCGGGUUGUAAAGCUCUUUCGGCCGGGAAGAAAUCGCACAGGCUAAUACUCUGUGUGGAUGACGGUACCGGCAUAAGAAGCACCGGCUAACUACGUGCCAGCCGCCGCCGUAA
rnacentral:rRNA from 1 species